CAAUACAAAUCCACCAUGAAGACCUUUCUCAUCCUUGCCCUCCUUGCUAUCGUGGCGACCACCACCACAACUGCAGUUAGAGUUCCAGUGCCAUAAUUGCAGCCACAAAAUCCAUCUCAGCAACAACCACAAGAGCAAGUUCCAUUGGUGCAACAACAACAAUUUCUAGGGCAGCAACAACAACAAUUUCCAGGGCAACAACAACCAUUUCCACCACAACAGCCAUAUCCGCAGCCGCAACCAUUUCUGCCACAACUACCAUAUCCGCAGCCGCAACCAUUUCCACCACAACAAUCAUAUCCACAACCACAACCACAAUAUCCGCAACCACAACAACCAAUUUCGCAGCAACAAGCACAACUACAACAACAACAACAACAACAACAACAACAACAACAACAACAACAACAACAACAACAACAACAACAACAACAACAACAACAACAACAACAACAACCGUCGAGCCAGGUCUCCUACCAGCAGCCUCAGCAACAAUAUCCAUCAGGCCAGGGCUCGUUCCAGCCAUCUCAGCAAAACCCACAGGCCCAGGGCUUUGUCCAACCUCAGCAACUGCCGCAGUUCGAGGAAAUAAGGAACCUAGCGCUACAGACGCUACCAGCAAUGUGCAAUGUCUACAUCCCUCCAUAUUGCUCGACCACCAUUGCGCCAUUUGGCAUCAUGAGUACUAACUGAGAAGAGAAGAACUCUAUUACUAGAUAUAUGAAACACCGUUUUCUUAAAACAUGGUUUGGUCGUUGUAGCGGUGAAAAAUAAAGUGACAUGCACUAUCAUGUAAGAACCCGAACUAGACUAUUUCAAACUUGGAAAUAAAAGACAAACACAGGUCUUGUCUGCA